UUCCAGACUCCUACGGGAGGCAGCAGUGAGGAAUAUUGGUCAAUGGUCGGGAGACUGAACCAGCCAAGCCGCGUGAGGGAUGAAGGUACAGAGUAUCGUAAACCUCUUUUGUCAGGGAACAAAGGCGGGGACGUGUCCCCGGAUGAGUGUACCUGAAGAAAAAGCAUCGGCUAACUCCGUGCCAGCAGCCGCGGUAAUACGGAGGAUGCGAGCGUUAUCCGGAUUUAUUGGGUUUAAAGGGUGCGUAGGCGGGCCGGGAAAGACGGGGGUAAAAGCCGGGGCCCCACCCCCGGCGAGCCGUUGAAACUGUCGGACUAGAGACGGCGAGAAGUACGCGGAAUGCGCGGUGUAGCGGUGAAAUGCAUAGAUAUCGCGCAGAACUCCGAUUGCGAAGGCAGCGUACCGGCGCCGGACUGACGCUGAGGCACGAAAGCGUGGGUAUCGAACAGGAUUAGAUACCCGUGUAA
rnacentral:rRNA from 1 species